rnacentral:lncRNA from 1 species
ACUUUCUCGCCGAGUGUUUGUCAGAGUGGAAUGUGAAGAACGGAGACAGAGUGAAGAAAGGAUACUGACCGAAGCAACUUCUGCUCUCUGCCAGCUUCUUGAAAAGUGUCUGUGAGAAGAUUUGAAGACAUCUGAGCAGGACAGAAGCUCCCACACCAGAGAAGAAGACUGUUCAAAGAUGUUUCAAUGCUCAGUGUGAGUUGUCAGAGUGUGACGACAUCCUCACACCAACCAGAGACAGACAGAAGGACUGACGAGGGACGGAGAGCAGCUUCCUCUUUCCAAAAUUGUCUGGAAGAAGAUGUGAAGAGAGUUGAUCAGAGUCAAACAUCUCACCUGAAUUAAAGCAUGUCAACACCUCACCAUGGUCUUUUCAAGGAGUCUGAAUACAGUAUGAAAGUUUAUUGAAAUAAAUCA